rnacentral:lncRNA from 1 species
GUUGGUCAGCACCAGGUCCAUGCAGAUGGAGCCCACCUGCCGGCUGAAGGUGCCAGAGAUCUCCAGCCCCUUGGCUUUCAUGGCAGGGAGCCACACCGUCUUGGGUGCCACGUAGGACCCCGACAGAGUGCCCACUCCCCCGGUGAGGUCGAAGAGGUCCCCCAGGCCACUGCCAAGAGGUGCUCCCAUAGCAGCUGGUGCUGCGGGGCCGGGCGCUGUGAAGCCACUGCCACCCAUCAGGCUAUCCAGGCCCCCUCCCAGGAGGUCCACAGCUCCCAUCUGCACGGAGGAGGCGGCCAGGGGAGGCCCACU